rnacentral:rRNA from 1 species
UACGGAGGGGGCUAGCGUUGUUCGGAUUUACUGGGCGUAAAGGGCGCGUAGGCGGUAUGUCAUGUCAGGGGUGAAAGGCCUGGGCUUAACCCAGGAACUGCCUUUGAAACUGGCAAACUAGAGUCCGAUAGAGGAUGGCGGAAUUCCCAGUGUAGAGGUGAAAUUCGUAGAUAUUGGGAAGAACUCCAGUGGCGAAGGCGGCCAUCUGGCUCGGUACUGACGCUGAGGCGCGAAAGCGUGGGGAGCAAACAGGAUUAGAUACCCCAGUAGUCC